AUUCAGUUGACGACUCCCAAACAGGAGGAAACACGCGUCUUGGAU
rnacentral:hammerhead_ribozyme from 1 species